rnacentral:rRNA from 1 species
CAGUUAUCGUUUAUUUGAUAGUACCUUACUACAUGGAUAACCGUGGUAAUUCUAGAGCUAAUACAUGCUAAAAAUCCCGACUUCGGAAGGGAUGUAUUUAUUAGAUUAAAAACCAAUGCCCUUCGGGGCUCUCUGGUGAUUCAUAAUAACUUCUCGAAUCGCACGGCCUUGCGCCGGCGAUGGUUCAUUCAAAUUUCUGCCCUAUCAACUUUCGACGGCUGGGUCUUGGCCAGCCAUGGUGACAACGGGUAACGGAGGGUUAGGGCUCGACCCCGGAGAAGGAGCCUGAGAAACGGCUACUACAUCCAAGGAAGGCAGCAGGCGCGCAAAUUACCCAAUCCCGACUCGGGGAGGUAGUGACAAUAAAUACUGAUACAGGGCUCUUUUGGGUCUUGUAAUUGGAAUGAGUACAAUUUAAAUCCCUUAACGAGGAACAAUUGGAGGGCAAGUCUGGUGCCAGCAGCCGCGGUAAUUCCAGCUCCAAUAGCGUAUAUUAAAGUUGUUGCAGUUAAAAAGCUCGUAGUUGAACCUUGGGCCUGGCUGGCCGGUCCGCCUCACCGCGUGCACUGGUCCGGCCGGGCCUUUCCCUCUGGGGAACCGCAUGCCCUUCACUGGGUGUGUCGGGGAAC